UUACUCUUCCAAUGGUGUGUG
rnacentral:piRNA from 1 species